rnacentral:lncRNA from 1 species
AGAGAAACCAGGGCUGACAUUUAACUGCCCCUGGGAAAAGAGGAGGAAAUUAAUACAGUGGGUAUGGAAGACAGAGUCUUGACACAGCAAGAAGAAACAAGAGGCAGAAAAGAGGUGAAUGACUGGAUGACGAUAAAACUAACUCCAGGCGUGUGGUACUGGAAGGAUGAUACUAACACACUUGAAUUUGCAAGCUCCAACCGAGCAGCUGAGGAAAACCUUAAGGAAGGACAAAAUAUUCCCUUUCAGGAAAUGCGUGUCAAGACUUUAAAGAGCAUCUUUCGAGGUGAUUGCAGUGCAACUCUCCCUGAAAGAAGGCUGGCUGACAAAGAAGGAAAAUUGCAUAGGCUGUCCAAGUGGCUACAACAUGAAUAUGUGACGUUGGAUGACGUCAAAUAUGCUGCUUUGCUUUUGAAAGAAGCAAAUAAGUCACAUCCCAUGUUGCCAUUUGCAGCAGUUAUCAGGUAUGUCAUUUAGAGUCUGGUUCAAGAAUUAUGUGUGUGUGUAGCUGGUAGUGGAGGGACCAGGGUGUAUGGGAAGUAGAAUAUG